ACGUACAAUCCUGCCUCGAUACGGAGAUUACGGACACUCCGUUGGCAUACAUCGUUUUGUACGGUAAUUAUUCCAUGGAUGUCGUCGGUAAUUCCUCGGGGUUUACUCUUAUACUUUUCUGUUCCAAGGUUGACUUACGAAGUACUUUCCAAUCGGAUACAGAUGGUGACAUUAGUUAUUCACUUUCUGGUACACACACCCGUACACAUAUAGUCCUUUGAUGGGUGUAUUGAAGACAUUCAGAAUAAGGAAUAUCCCUGCAUGCAGAGGGCGAGAUAAACAUACAGUUCGCUGUCAGAUUGUAGGGUUACUAGGCCAGGGCGGAGGUGGAGGCAUAUCCCCGGAUGCAAGGGAGUCGACAGGACAAAUUACCAACGCCACGCGAUAUGUUCGCUCUGUCGCCUUUUUGCUGUUUAUGUGUACGGUACCGAGUACUAGUACAAUGUUAUUAUACAUUUCGUAUUGUACCGUGUAUGUUACGUUACAGAGUUUUGUCCUUUCAUUGUCUGUGUUCACUGGACUCCAUAUGAAGGGGUGUGUGUCUUCUUGAAUAGAGAUCCUUUUCUGUCCGAAAGACAAUGGCAAGAUGGUAGACAUAACACAAGCAAAAGAAAGGUUCUAGAUCAAUCAAAUGAGCUUAAUCGACUUCCAUACAUCGAAUGGAUCAAUUAUGUUGAUCUUCCCUGCACCGCACCUGGCGCACCACCAUGAUCGUCGCUCGCUCUUGGUUUUUCUCCACAAUCGGUCAAUCUUGCACAAAUCCAGCAAUGCUUGCAAGGCAGUUGCUCUUCGCACACAUUUUACUUUUCUAGGGAUUCGUUUUUUGUUUUUUUAACUUUCUUUUCUUUUUUUUGUAGGGCAGUAGAAUUUCGAUUGGCGCGAUCAACUGUCAAUCUCUCCAUCAUUCUUUUCGGUUUUUGAUUUUCCGAUCUGUAGUCUUUUUUUUCGGUUUUUGAGUAUGGGUUAUCCCGAAUCGCCAAUCGUAAAUACGGUCGGUAUCAUAAGGGGUAUCCGAUUCAGAGAAUAUUCCGUUCUUUACGUACAAUGGCAUUCAUCUUCAUUAUCGACUCUUUUUUUUGCAUCGUUGAAUAUACAAAUAAGCCACACGAAGCCAUGAAACUAACAGAUCGACUCGAUCAGACGAAAGCCCAAUCGGGAAGUGACCUACGAUGGCUGAGGCGGCGGCGCGCGGAGGGGACCGCCAGCCCUGUCGACCACGUUGUUGCUGAUCCUGAUCCAUAAUUUAUUAGAUGCUCUUCGCCUCAAUCGUAUAUCGUCAAAUUGCAUUCUAUAGUAGUUACAAAUGCAAUGUCCAGCAGACUUUUGACAGAACUCGACUACGUACAUUCGCCUCCGUUAGGCACCUGGAUUGUCAUCGUACUAAUUUGCAAUUUGUUGUUUUUCAUGCUAAUUACCAGAGAUUGCUAAUACCUAGGUUCGUACGGAGUCAUCCAGCACCGCUAGUCGUAAUUCAUAAAUUACACAUUGAUUCCGUAAAUAACAUAACACUUGAUGAAUGCCAGCUCGGG
rnacentral:lncRNA from 1 species